ensembl:lncRNA BCL10-AS1 BCL10 antisense RNA 1
GGAGCUCGGGCUGCGCCGCCCCGCCCUGGCUGGGGGCUUCGGCCUCCGGGUAAUGGGGAAGAAGGAGAGGAGGCGGAGCGGGUCGGGAGAAAGACGGCCGCCCCUUCGGGAACAGAGGGACUCGGGGGUCAAACCGUAGCGCUUCCGGCCCCGCCUCUGAGGUCGACGGCGACGCGAAUCUACGCGACGCGACGCGGAGCUCGGAGCAGCGUUCCUUCCCUCUCGUAGAGGCUCAGGCGCAGGCACCGCCCCACGGCGAGGCGCGUCGCUUAGCAGAGCCCGCCCUGUCUCUGCGGCAGCCUAUCGACGCCAGCCCGCGGGCCGAUCCUGUUCCCGCCCCCGACCGGAGCCUUUCGGGUGGCUCCGCCCACAGCGGGCGUUUCCUCAAGCCACGCCUGCGCAGGUCGUCGGGGGAGACUGAUGAAGAGACGACUAUCCCCAGACCGUAUUUUAACUACUAUGGCGCUGUGUAAGAAGCAACCUGAGAAGUGUGGAUGAAAAGCUACAGAUUGGUACCCUGUAUUAAAUGUGUUGUGGUGGCCAGGCCUGUAAUCCCAGCACUUUGGGAGGCCGAGGCAGGCAGAUCACUUGAGGUCAGGAGUUCGAGACCAGCCUGGCCAACACGGUGAAACCCCAUCUCUACUAAAAAUUCAAAAAUUAGCUGGGCGUGGUGGCGGGUGCCUAUAAUCCCAGUUACUCAGGAGGCUGAGGCAGGAGAAUCUCUUGAAAGUGGGAGGCAGAGAUUGCAGUGAGCCAAGAUCAAGCCACUGCUCUCCAGCCUGGGCAACAGAGUGAGACUCCAUCUUAAAUGAAUCAAUGAAUGAGUGGAUGAAUGAAUUUAUGUGUUCUGGGCUUUUUAGCUGAGAAUUGCUAAACUCUUCCUAGAUGGAUGAUUUCAUUUAAAUAUACAAUGCACACACUAUUAACUCUACUAUAAUCUCAAAUGGCAAGAUGAUGAUCUCCAUAAGAAUCCACUUCAUUAACCAAGAGUAGAUUGCAACCCAUUACAAAGUAUUUCAAAUGCAAUAAAACUACCCAGAAACCCUUGGGGCUCUCAGCUUUACCUAAACAUGUAAGAAGUAGAUUCUGAAGGAACCAAGUACUCAGAGAGCAGUGACAGAGGUGAGAAGUAAUCAAGCUUUCGGUGUGUAGCACAGGAAGGCACAAUUCACCUCUGUUUAAGUAAUAUGCCCUUUAAAGAGAUGCCCAAGUGACCAGGGACUUCUCUACAGAGGAAAGAACUGAGACAUCAAGGUUUACAAGGGAAAAAAUAAAUAUCUGGUACCAAACUCACACCUAUCCUGAGACUGCUCAGAUCCUGGAUACCAGUAAAAAAUGGAAAGUCAGGAGAUAGGUGGAAAGACACGGAAGGAGCAGACAAGCUCGGCUAGAACCAAUCUAUGGCAAAAUAAUUAGAAAAGGUUUUCUAAUUAAAAAAGAAGAUUCAGUAUGGAGUAGGUUGGGCAACUGGGGCCAGGGGAAUCAGGGCCCAGGAAACUUGUUUCUGGAACUGUAAGAUCCCACUCAAAAUGAUUAUUUCAUCAGGUCUCAGUAUUUUGAACUGUAAAAUGGGAAAAACAAAGCCAAUACCACUUUUAUCACUUAUAAGUGAUAUAUUUGUCUCUAUUCAUCUGUCUUCCUGCCUGUCUAUAAUAACAUGGAGUAUUUAUAUUUCUAUGUUAGUUAGCAAUUAAUAAUUGCCCCAUUAGAUCUAAUUAAAUGAAGGAGCUUCUGCACAGCAAAAGAAACUAUCAUCGGAGUGAACAGGCAACCUACAGAAUGGGAGAAAAUUUUUGCAAUCUACUCAUCUGACAAAGGGUUAAUAUCCAGAAUCUACAAAGAACUCAAACAAACUUACAAGAAAAAAACAAACAACCCCAUCAAAAAGUGGGCAAAGGAUAUGAACAGACACUUCUCAAAAGAAGACAUUUAUGCAGCCAACAGACACAUGAAAAAAUGCUCAUCAUCACUGGCCAUCAGAGAAAUGCAAAUCAAAACCACAAUGAGAUACCAUCUCACACCAGUUAGAAUGGCAAUCAUUAAAAAGUCAGGAAACAACAGGUGCUGGAGAGGAUGUGGAGAAAUAGGAACACUUUUACACUGUUGGUGGGACUGUCAACUAGUUCAACCAUUGUGGAAGACAGUGUGGCGAUUCCUCAAGGAUCUAGAACUAGAAAUACCAUUUGACCCAGCCAUCCCGUUACUGAGUAUAUACCCAAAGGAUUAUAAAUCAUGCUGCUAUAAAGACACAUGCACACGUAUGUUUACUGUGGCACUAUUCACAAUAGCAAAGACUUGGAACCAACCCAAAUGUCCAUCAAUGAUAGACUGGAUUAAGAAAAUGUGGCACAUAUACACCAUGGAAUACUAUGCAGCCAUAAAAAAGGAUGAGUUCAUGUCCUUUGUAGGGACAUGGAUGAAGCUGGAAACCAUCAUUCUCAACAAACUAUCACAAGAGCAAAAAACCAAACACUGCAUGUUCUCACUCACAGGUGGGAAUUGAACAAUGAGAACACUUGGACACAGGAUGGGGAACAUCACACACCGGGGCCUGUCGUGGGAUGGGGGAGGGUGGAGGGAUAGCAUUGGGAGAUAUACCUAAUGUAAAUAACGAGUUAAUAGGUGCAGCAUACCAACAUGGCACAUGUAUACAUAUAUAACAAACCUGCAUAC